AUUGGACGCUGGCGGCAUGCUUUACACAUGCAAGUCGAACGGCAGCGCGGGCUUCGGCCUGGCGGCGAGUGGCGAACGGGUGAGUAAUACAUCGGAACGUGCCCAGUAGUGGGGGAUAGCUCGGCGAAAGCCGGAUUAAUACCGCAUACGACCUGAGGGUGAAGGCGGGGGAUCUUCGGACCUCGCGCUAUUGGAGCGGCCGAUGGCAGAUUAGCUAGUUGGUGGGGUAAAGGCCUACCAAGGCGACGAUCUGUAGCUGGUCUGAGAGGACGACCAGCCACACUGGGACUGAGACACGGCCCAGACUCCUACGGGAGGCAGCAGUGGGGAAUUUUGGACAAUGGGCGAAAGCCUGAUCCAGCAAUGCCGCGUGUGUGAUGAAGGCCUUCGGGUUGUAAAGCACUUUUGGCGGGAACGAAAAGGACUGUGCCAAUACCACGGUUCGAUGACGGUACCCGCAGAAUAAGCACCGGCUAACUACGUG
rnacentral:rRNA from 1 species